rnacentral:rRNA from 1 species
GACGAACGCUGGCGGCGUGCUUAACACAUGCAAGUCGAACGGUGAAGCGCCUUCCUUUUUGGUGGGUGUGGAUGAGUGGCGAACGGGUGAGUAACACGUGAGUAACCUGCCCCCUUCUUCUGGAUAACCGCAUGAAAGUGUGGCUAAUACGGGAUAUUCUGGGUCUGUCGCAUGAUGGGUCUGGGAAAGAUAUUGUUUCGGUGGGGGAUGGGCUCGCGGCCUAUCAGCUUGUUGGUGGGGUGAUGGCCUACCAAGGCGGUGACGGGUAGCCGGCCUGAGAGGGUGGACGGGCACACUGGGACUGAGACACGGCCCAGACUCCUACGGGAGGCAGCAGUGGGGAAUAGUGCACAAUGGGCGCAAGCCUGAUGCAGCGACGCCGCGUGAGGGAUGGAGGCCUUCGGGUUGUGAACCUCUUUCGCCAGUGAAGCAGGCCUGCCUCGUUUGUGGGUGGGUUGACGGUAGCUGGAGAAGAAGCGCCGGCUAACUACGUG